rnacentral:rRNA from 1 species
GUUAGCGGCGAUAGCACGUUGAAAGCACCAUUUCAGACGGAUCACUGAAGUUAAGCAACGUCGCGCGUGGUUCAUAUCCGGAUGGGUUACCAUCUGGUGUUACGGUGCAGAUGUUU